rnacentral:rRNA from 1 species
CGCCUCUUGCCCACCAUAAGAGGUCCAGCCUGCCCAGUGAUAAAAUUCAACGGCCGCGGUAUCCUGACCGUGCGAAGGUAGCAUAAUCACUUGUUCUCUAAAUAGGGACUAGUAUCAACGGCACCACGAGGGUUAUACUGUCUCCUUUUCCCAAUCUAUGAAACUAAUCUCCCCGUGAAGAAGCGAGGAUAAAAAUAUAAGACGAGAAGACCCCAUGGAGCUUUAAAUCCAAUAGACAAUUUUACAUAAACUAGCCCACACAAUUUAAAAUCUUGUCUAUUGAUUUUAGGUUGGGGUGACCGCGGAGUAUAACAAAACCUCCACAACGAACAAGACACAAUCUUAUCCGAGGGCCACAGCCCCAAGAAUCAAAAAAUUGACGUAAAAUGACCCGAUAUUCGACUAAUGAAACAAGUUACCCUGGGGAUAACAGCGCAAUCUACUUCAAGAGCCCAUAUCAACAAGUAGGCUUACGACCUCGAUGUUGGAUCAGGGUAUCCCAGUGGUGCAGCCGCUACUAAAGGUUCGUUUGUUCAACGAUUAAAACCCU